UCAACUAGCCUACCUGGUUAAAUAAAGGUGUUCUCAACUAGCCUGCCUGGUUAAAUAAAGGUGUUCUCAACUAGCCUACCUGGUUAAAUAAAGGUGUUCUCAACUAGCCUGCCUGGUUAAAUAAAGGUGUUCUCAACUAGCCUGCCUGGUUAAAUAAAGGUGUUCUCAACUAGCCUACCUGGUUAAAUAAAGGUGUUCUCAACUAGCCUGCCUGGUUAAAUAAAGGUGUUCUCAACUAGCCUGCCUGGUUAAAUAAAGGUGUUCUCAACUAGCCUACCUGGUUAAAUAAAGGUGUUCUCAACUAGCCUGCCUGGUUAAAUAAAGGUGUUCUCAACUAGCCUGCCUGGUUAAAUAAAGGUGUUCUCAACUAGCCUACCUGGUUAAAUAAAGGUGUUCUCAACUAGCCUGCCUGGUUAAAUAAAGGUGUUCUCAACUAGCCUACCUGGUUAAAUAAAGGUGUUCUCAACUAGCCUGCCUGGUUAAAUAAAGGUGUUCUCAACUAGCCUACCUGGUUAAAUAAAGGUGUUCUCAACUAGCCUGCCUGGUUAAAUAAAGGUGUUCUCAACUAGCCUACCUGGUUAAAUAAAGGUGUUCUCAACUAGCCUGCCUGGUUAAAUAAAGGUGUUCUCAACUAGCCUACCUGGUUAAAUAAAGGUGUUCUCAACUAGCCUGCCUGGUUAAAUAAAGGUGUUCUCAACUAGCCUGCCUGGUUAAAUAAAGGUGUUCUCAACUAGCCUACCUGGUUAAAUAAAGGUGUUCUCAACUAGCCUACCUGGUUAAAUAAAGGUGUUCUCAACUAGCCUGCCUGGUUAAAUAAAGGUGUUCUCAACUAGCCUACCUGGUUAAAUAAAGGUGUUCUCAACUAGCCUACCUGGUUAAAUAAAGGUGUUCUCAACUAGCCUGCCUGGUUAAAUAAAGGUGUUCUCAACUAGCCUACCUGGUUAAAUAAAGGUGUUCUCAACUAGCCUGCCUGGUUAAAUAAAGGUGUUCUCAACUAGCCUACCUGGUUAAAUAAAGGUGUUCUCAACUAGCCUGCCUGGUUAAAUAAAGGUGUUCUCAACUAGCCUACCUGGUUAAAUAAAGGUGUUCUCAACUAGCCUACCUGGUUAAAUAAAGGUGUUCUCAACUAGCCUGCCUGGUUAAAUAAAGGUGUUCUCAACUAGCCUACCUGGUUAAAUAAAGGUGUUCUCAACUAGCCUACCUGGUUAAAU